AUUGAACGCUGGCGGCAGGCUUAACACAUGCAAGUCGAGCGAGCGGCGGACGGGUGAGUAAUGUCUGUGAAACUGCCUGAUGGAGGGGGAUACCUACUGGAAACGGUAGCUAAUCCCGCAUACCAUCAGAUGUGCCCAGAUGGGAUUGGCUAGUAGGUGGGGUAAUGGCUCACCUAGGCGACGAGCCCUAGCUGGUCUGAGAGGAGGACAAGCCACACUGGAACUGAGACACGGUCCAGACUCCUACGGGAGGCAGCAGUGGGGAAUAUUGCACAAUGGGCGCAAGCAUGAUGCAGCCAUGCCGCGUGUGUGAAGAAGGCCUUCGGGUUGUAAAGCACUUUCAGCGAGGAGGCGGUACCCGCAGAAGAAGCACCGGCUAACUCCGUGCCAGCAGCCGCGGUAAUUC
rnacentral:rRNA from 1 species